GGAGAUAGAUGAUGUGUGUUUAUAAUAUUAGUGUGUGUUUCUCUCUCUCCAGGUACUGUAACCAGGUGUUGAAUAAGGAGAUAGAUGAGUGUGUUUAUAAUAUUAGUGUGUGUUUCUCUCUCCAGGUACUGUAACCAGGUGUUGAAUAAGGAGAUAGAUGAAUGUGUUUUAUCCUGUGUGUGUUUAUAAUAUUAGUGUGUGUUUCUCUCUCUCUCCAGGUACUGUAACCAGGUGUUGAAUAAGGAGAUAGAUGAGUGUGUUUAUAAUAUUAGUGUGUGUUUCUCUCUCUCUCCAGGUACUGUAACCAGGUGUUGAAUAAGGAGAUAGAUGAAUGUGUUUUAUCCUGUGUGUGUGUGUUUAUAAUAUUAGUGUGUGUUUCUCUCUCUCCAGGUACUGUAACCAGGUGUUGAAUAAGGAGAUAGAUGAAUGUGUUUUAUCCUGUGUGUGUGUGUUUAUAAUAUUAGUGUGUGUUUUUCUCUCUCUCCAGGUACUGUAACCAGGUGUUGAAUAAGGAGAUAGAUGAAUGUGUUUUAUCCUGUGUGUGUGUGUGUGUGUC